UACAGAGGGUGCAAGCGUUGUUCGGAAUUAUUGGGCGUAAAGCGUGCGCAGGCGGUUCGUUGUGUCGGCGGUGAAAGCCCCGGGCUUAACCUGGGAAUGGCCGUUGAAACUGGCGAACUGGAGUGUGGCAGAGGGGGGUGGAAUUCCGCGUGUAGCAGUGAAAUGCGUAGAGAUGCGGAAGAACACCGAUGGCGAAGGCAGCCCCCUGGGCUAACACUGACGCUCAGGCACGAAAGCGUGGGGAGCAAACAGG
rnacentral:rRNA from 1 species